CAAUUGAAUUUUUUCUUUAAGUAUCACAAGGCCGCAGUUCACAGAAGUACCACGACAUAAAUUGGUCUUCACUUGUGUGCCCGAGCGCAUGUGGGAAGCGAGCGUGCACCGAGAACAACGAGUGCUGUCACCCCGAGUGCCUGGGCAGCUGCAGCGCGCCUGACAACGACACGGCCUGCGUAGCUUGCCGCCACUACUACUACGCCGGUGUCUGCGUGCCUGCCUGCCCGCCCAACACCUACAGGUUUGAGGGCUGGCGCUGUGUGGACCGUGACUUCUGCGCCAACAUCCUCAGCGCCGAGAGCAGCGACUCCGAGGGGUUUGUGAUCCACGACGGCGAGUGCAUGCAGGAGUGCCCCUCGGGCUUCAUCCGCAACGGCAGCCAGAGCAUGUACUGCAUCCCAUGUGAAGGUCCUUGCCCCAAGGUCUGUGAGGAAGAAAAGAAAACAAAGACCAUUGAUUCUGUUACUUCUGCUCAGAUGCUCCAAGGAUGCACCAUCUUCAAGGGCAAUUUGCUCAUUAACAUCCGACGGGGGAGUAAGUAUUCCAUC
rnacentral:sRNA from 1 species